UGGGGAAUAUUGGUCAAUGGACGAGAGUCUGAACCAGCCAAGUAGCGUGAAGGAUGACUGCCCUAUGGGUUGUAAACUUCUUUUAUAUGGGAAUAAAAUGUUCCACGUGUGGGAUUUUGUAUGUACCAUAUGAAUAAGGAUCGGCUAACUCCGUGCCAGCAGCCGCGGUAAUACGGAGGAUCCGAGCGUUAUCCGGAUUUAUUGGGUUUAAAGGGAGCGUAGGUGGAUUGUUAAGUCAGUUGUGAAAGUUUGCGGCUCAACCGUAAAAUUGCAGUUGAAACUGGCAGUCUUGAGUACAGUAGAGGUGGGCGGAAUUCGUGGUGUAGCGGUGAAAUGCUUAGAUAUCACGAAGAACUCCGAUUGCGAAGGCAGCUCACUGGACUGCAACUGACACUGAGGCUCGAAAGUGUGGGUAUCAAACAGG
rnacentral:rRNA from 1 species